rnacentral:rRNA from 1 species
UUAGGUAGUAUGAGUUAUGUUCUAAAAACUUAAAGAUUUUGGCGGUAUUUUAAUUCUAUUCAGAGGAAUAUGUUUCUUAACGAUAAUCCCCGAUUAUCUUACUUAAUUUAGUUUUUGUAUACCGCCAUCUUAAGAGUUUUUUCUAUAAAUAUUUCUUUAUAAUUGUAAUGGUGAAAAAGUUAGGUCAAGGUGCAGAUGAUGGUUAAGCAGAAAUGUAUUACAUUUAAAUUAUUUAUGAAUUUAGUAUUGUAAAUAUUAAUGAAAAUGGAUUUGUUAGUAAAAUUUGUUUUAUUAUAAUAGUUUGAUUUUA